rnacentral:rRNA from 1 species
UACGGAGGGGGCUAGCGUUGUUCGGAAUUACUGGGCGUAAAACGCACGUAGGCGGACUGUUAAGUCGGGGGGUGAAAAUCCUGGGGGCUCAACCUCAGAAUUGCCUCCGAUACUGGCAGUCUCGAGUGCGGGAGAGGUGAGUGGAAUUCCCAGUGUAGAGGUGAAAUUCGUAGAUAUUUGGGAAAGAACACCAGUGGCGAAGGCGGCUCACUGGCCCGUAACUGACGCUGAGGUGCGAAAGCGUGGGGGAGCAAACAGG